UCAAGGCUCACGGCAUUUCCU
rnacentral:miRNA from 1 species